GGGGGUGGGAUAAGAGCAAGAGAUAUUUUCAGGACCUUGAAUAAAACAGGUAUAAAAGAUGAGAAAGAGGCUCUGAAUUCCUGUCAGCUAAGGUGAAAAAGAAUAUGGCUGGGAAUAAAGGAUUUCAUUACCUGGUAAAAGAAAGAAAAAUAGUUUUCUUUUGAUAACAUUUUUUUUUCCCUACUGGAUUUAAAGAGAAAGUUGUAGGACGGUGCUGAGUAAUACAAUGGGCAUUGUAUUCAACUCAUUGGUUCUGCACGAUAAGAUUAAAACCUAAUGCUUUCAUUUGAAAUACGGUGUUGGAGGAGAGCUCUAUGAAUACCCUGGACUGCCAGAAAGAGGAACAAGUGGGUCCUAGAGCAAAUUACACCUGAGCUAACACUUGAGGCAAAAAUGAUAAAACUGAGGCCAUCUGACUUUGAGCACAUCAUGAGAAGGCAAGAUCCUUUGGAAAAGACAAUAAUUCUGGGAAAAUUAGAAGGUAGGAGGAGCAGAGGAACACCAAAUAUGAGAUGAGUUGAUUCCAUAAAGGCAGCCACAGGCAAGAGUCUACAGCAGCUCAGUAGGGCGGUGGAUGACAGGACAUUGUGGACAUCACGCAUUCAUAGGGUCGCCAGGAGGCAGAGCUGACUUGAUAGCUCAUAAUGACAAUGCUUACUGAGUGCUUACUAUGUGCCUACUUGUGUUAGAAAUGCAAGUUCUUGGGCCCCUUAAGAGACCAACUGAAUAAAACAAUCUGAGCAUAGGGCCCAGCAAGCUGUGUUUUAACAAGCCCUCGGUGUGAUUUCACGGCACGCUGAAGUUCAAGAACCACUUGUGAAGAGCUUUGGCAAACAAGGGGAGGGGCAGCUUGGGAUUCUGUGUCACCAGGCAUCACUCUCCAGGUCCUUGACCCUCUUGAGGAAGAUUGACCUGUGACUCUGCUUUUACUCAUUGAGCACAUCACGGACUUUUUCGUGCUUUGGAGCCCUAGACAGCACUUCAGUGCUUUAGUUUUACAACUGGCUUGUUGUGAUAAUGAAGAAAUGAAGAGUGUUGCAAGUGGAAUAAAUUAAGAAUGUCCUAUCAUUGGAAUCCUACUAAAGUGUCAAGGUCAUGAAAGACACGGAAAGACCAAGAGACUGUCAGUCAGCUAAGGAGGCAUGUUAAUUAAACAUAAUGUGGUGUCCUGGAUUGGCUCCUAGAAUAAAAAAGGACAUUAACAGAAAAACUGGAAAAAUCUGAAUGAAGUAUGAAGUUUAGUUGAUACUUGGUUUUCUCGGUGACCAGCAUAUCCUAGAGACGACACCACAGCAGGAUGCAGAGGGCUCCAUCAUUUCUUCUCUAUAGCUGCACUGCAUGUUUUUAUAGUUUGUUCAACCAGUCCCCUACUGAUGAGUGAGGAGCCUAAUGAAUCACUGCCCGUGUAUCUUUGGGAUAGAGUCCUAAAAACGAGAUUGCUGCGUCAAAGGCUUUGUAAAUGCAUAUGUGCUUCUGGUGGGUAUUACAACAGGGCUGUACCAACUACAUCCUCACAAGUACGUUAUGAGAGUUCCGUUUUUCCACAUGCAGGUUGUUAAAAUAUUG
ensembl:lncRNA